GUUUAAUUGGAGGUAGCCUGGCUGAAAAGCUCGGGGAGAUAAGACACUGGGUUUGAAAAUCCAGAAGCCGAGGAUUUGACAUCAGAAUAGCCGUUCUCUUGAGAGGAAUCCUCACCUCCUACUGACAGGAUAUGAUCCUACUCUGUUCACAACUGGGCAAGAAUGUGAGAGCAGAACUGUCCAUUAGCAGUACACAAACCACGGCAAAGAUUGUUCCUUAUAUCUUGAAAAUGGUAGAAUAAUGCCUUUAUACUUGCAAAUAAAAGCUUAGCUAGAUUUU